CCUACGGGAGGCAGCAGUGGGGGAUAUUGCACAAUGGGGGAAACCCUGAUGCAGCGACGCCGCGUGUGGGAAGACGGUCCUCUGGAUUGUAAACCACUGUCCCCAGGGACGAAGAUGACGGUACCUGGGGAGGAAGCUCCGGCUAACUACGUGCCAGCAGCCGCGGUAAUACGUAGGGAGCGAGCGUUGUCCGGAAUUACUGGGUGUAACGGGAGCGUGGGCGGGACUGCAAGUUGGGUGUCAAAUCUACCGGCUCAACCGGUAGCCGCACUCAAAACUGCAGUGCUUGAGUGAAGUAGAGGCAGGCGGAAGUCCUAGUGUAGCGGUGAAAUGCGUAGAUAUUAGGAGGAACACCAGUGGCGAAGGCGGCCUGCUGGGCUUUUACUGACGCUGAGGCUCGAAAGUGUGGGGAGCAAACAGGAUUAGAUACCCUAGUAGUC
rnacentral:rRNA from 1 species